rnacentral:rRNA from 1 species
GAUGAACGCUGGCGGCGUGCCUAAUACAUGCAAGUCGAGCGAACGGACGAGAAGCUUGCUUCUCUGAUGUUAGCGGCGGACGGGUGAGUAACACGUGGAUAACCUACCUAUAAGACUGGGAUAACUUCGGGAAACCGGAGCUAAUACCGGAUAAUAUUUUGAACCGCAUGGUUCAAAAGUGAAAGACGGUCUUGCUGUCACUUAUAGAUGGAUCCGCGCUGCAUUAGCUAGUUGGUAAGGUAACGGCUUACCAAGGCCACGAUGCAUAGCCGAUCUGAGAGGUUGAUCGGCCACACUGGAACUGAGACACGGUCCAGACUCCUACGAGAGGCAGCAGUAGGGAAUCUUCCGCAAUAGGAGAAAGCCUGACGGAGCAACGCCGCGUGGGUGAUGAAGGUCUUCGGAUCGUAAAACUCUGUUGUUAGGGAAGAACAUAUGUGUAAGUAACUGUGCACAUCUUGACGGUACCUAAUCAGAAAGCCACGGCUAACUACGUG